GAUGAACGCUGGCGGCGUGCCUAAUACAUGCAAGUCGAGCGAACAGACGAGGAGCUUGCUCCUUCGACGUUAGCGGCGGACGGGUGAGUAACACGUAGGUAACCUACCUAUAAGACUGGGAUAACUUCGGGAAACCGGAGCUAAUACCGGAUAAUAUUUCGAACCGCAUGGUUCGAUAGUGAAAGAUGGCUUUGCUAUCACUUAUAGAUGGACCUGCGCCGUAUUAGCUAGUUGGUAAGGUAACGGCUUACCAAGGCAACGAUACGUAGCCGACCUGAGAGGGUGAUCGGCCACACUAGAACUGAGACGCGGUACAGACUCCUACGGGAGGCAGCAGUAGGGAAUCUUCCGCAAUGGGCGAAAGCCUGACGGAGCAACGCCGCGUGAGUGAUGAAGGUCUUCGGAUCGUAAAACUCUGUUAUUAGGGAAGAACAAACGUGUAAGUAACUGUGCACGUCUUGACGGUACCUAAUCAGAAAGCCACGGCUAACUACGUG
rnacentral:rRNA from 1 species